rnacentral:lncRNA from 1 species
UUUUUUUUUUUUACUGAGGGGUAAUUUCGGGAUUAAAAAAAUUAUAAGGGAUAAGAAUGUAAUAUCUUUGGUCAAAGCAAUAUGGCUUUUAAGCCAAUUUCGAAAAAGUUAGGUUUUCCAACUUAUUGGUUUUGACUUUUUAAAAGUAGAUUUUAACUUUUUUAAGUCCCUUUUUUUUGUUGCCAAACACUUUCACUGGUUAAAAACUGUUCAAACAGGCUCUUAAUGUAUGUUAAAACUGUUGAAUGAGGUAAUUAAAUCCCUCGGAACUGACAAUAUCACAGAAAAUUAUUCCUACACUAUAUACCAAUUUGGUACUAUUAGUCCCUAUUCCUUUUUAAGCUGUCACACAACAAGUGACUUUGGCACUCGGUUAGUUUAGUUAUUUUAGCAUUUUUCUUUUAAAAGUUACGUAAGCCUCCUAUUUGCACGAAUUUUUUUAACCUCCAGUGAUUACACUAUUUAUGAUAUUUACAUACCAACAAAAUGAACACGCCCUGUAUUUCCAUCCUUUACCCAAAGUUGCUAAGCAGUAUGCUUGGCCUCCAGAUACAUCUCUCCCCUUUUUCCUAGUUACCCGAAACUCAUGGACUAAAGUAUAAUCGCUCACUUUAGUUGUUUGCUAUAACUAUUCCAAUAAUAAGUACUUGACUUCGCAGUUUAGUUUGAAACCCGGGGAAGAACAUAAUACAUGUCUAAUUGAUUUAUUGGGACGGUAAUGGUGGCAUUUGAUGGAAGGAAUGGAAGAGAACCAUCUAAGUGAUUUGGGCUGCACUUCUAGUUGGAUACCAACUUCUUAGACAAGUGUUAUUUUUUUGCCCUUUUACAUCUUCAAAAAUAAUGAAUAUUUCCUUUUCAAAAAGAAUAAUCUCUUUCUAAAUUUAGAAAAAAUGUAACUUUAAACUUUUUAUUUUACCCUUAAUAAGAUGGUUUAUAGCCAAACAAAUAUCUAUGGAUUGUUUGAUCACAAGUUUCAAAAGUCUUAUCAUUUUUGUUAAACUUCGAGCUCAAUCAAAUAAGCUCAAAUAAAUUGAAACGGAGGGACUAAUGAAUAAGGCAUUAGUGUUUUUGAAAUGAGCAAAUUUAUUUCAAGGUGCAACAUUUCCUUUGGUUAUGCGGAAUAGGAGAACAUUUGCCUGCUUCCUCUUCAUGACUUGUGAGUUAUGCUUCCAUGUUGAUUGACUUCUUGAAGGUUUGACCCACGUUUUAAAAUGUAUAAUCUAUAUCUAUCUAUACCUAUACUAUAUUAAAAACACGAAGGCAUUAGCGAAAUGUCGUUUGCCUUUUUUACCCCUUUAAAAUAAAGUUUACACUGGACCAAAUAGUCAUUUGAUUAUUUUCCUAAUAUAUAGGAAUAGUCAUUUAAUUAUUUUCCUUAUAUUUAAGAAUAGUCAUUUAAUUAUUCUCCUAUUAUUUAAAACUUUAAUUUUUCUUACUCCUUCCAAUUCUAAAAUUUUAGACGCUUAUUAUGAUUUAGUUAUAAGCAAAUUGAAAUGGAAAAACUAUGCAUAACUUACGUCUCUAAUUUGUAAUUAAAAAAAUAUCCUCCUUUAUUUAGGAGUUAAUAUUUUUUUGGCAAUUAACUAUUUUCUAAAUAUUUGAUUUAGGUAAGAGCUCCUAAUAUUAGGAAAUCUAAAUUAUAAAUCUCUUGCUUAAUAUUUAAAAUGUUAAAAUUAACUAAGAUUUGAAGGACAAUUUUAUAAAGGUAUGUAAUUGUAGAUUCUGUAUUGAGUAUCGACAAAUCAUUCUCUAGUUUUGUUUUGUGACUUACCUCUCGGAAUUUGUUUUUUGGUCAGGUUCCGUCUCUCUCUAACGUCUCUAUCUAUCUAUCUAUCUAUCUAUCUAUCUAACGUCUCUCUGCCCCAACCUCCCCACCUUCGCCAGCGUACAACUCUCUCUUCGUCUCUUUCUUCUUUUGCUUUUUUCUUCUUAUUUCUCCCCCUCUUUUCUCUUCUGAUUUUUUCGAGCUGCCCCUCCCCCUCCGUCUCCUGCCUCUCUAUGUUUCCUUUUUCUUCUUCUUCUAUCUUUCUCCCCCUAUUUUCUUCUUUGUCUCUUUCUUCUCUUGCUUUCUUCUUUCUCUUUCAUCCCCUCUUUUCUCUUCUGGUUUCCGAUCUGCCCCUCAUUACCUUCUUCUUUCACCCUGUCUCCUCUUUCCCCUUUCUUUAUUGCUGCUGGUCGGAUUCCUAGACCUAGCAGCGGCAUCAAGGAUUUUGCACGGAGACGAUUUUUCAGCAACCCUCGGGCGACGCGCGCGGGAACUUCCAGAAUAUAGCUGCUAUGGACAAUACCUUUCUCGGCACUCGUUGGGACUCCAUGUUCUACCUCUCUUGCUUAGAAUUUGCUAUUUGUUAAUAUUCUGUCGGCUGCCUUUUAUCCUUGAUUAGUGUAUUUCCUUCAGCUUGCUUGCAUUUAUCUGCCAUUAGUGGUAUCACACGUGUCUUUUGCGUGCCCAAGUUACAUUACAUUUCAGCUUAUAUUUAGGCUUUGCUUGUUUUAAGCUUUACCUGCUCGUUUGCAUUUGUAGUAGUUAAGGCUUAGUUUAUAUCCCUAUGUUUUUGCUGGUGUAGCUAUUUUGAGCGAUGGUAGUGUAGGGUCGUGUCCUCGGGUGGGUCAGCGGGUAGGUCAGGGGGUAGGGUGCAAGGGUGGAAAUGGGGGUAAGGAUUACACAAGGUUGAGAGUUGGAUCCUGGAACAUUGGGACACUGACGGGUAAGUCGAUAAAGUUGGGGAAGAUUCUCGAGAAGAGGAAGAUUAAUAUAGCAUGUGUCCAGGAGGCUAGAUGGGGGGAGGGAGGGGGGAGGGUACGAAGGCUCGGAAUGUUAAUGGGUAUAAGCUUUGGUACUCGAGGGCUGUUGGAGGCAAGAACGUGAUAGGUAUUUUAGUUGAUAGGGAUCUCAGGGAGUUAGUGGUGGAUGUCAUGAGGGUGAAUGAUAGGAUGUUGAUUAUUAAGUUAGUGGUUAAUGGGUUCACUUUUAACGUGAUUAGUGCUUACACGCCUCAAGCGGGAUUGAGCGAGGAGGUAAAAAGGUGCUUCUGGGAGGAUUUGAACGAGGUGGUGGGUGGUAUCCCAGAGUCCGAGAAGAUUUUCAUAGGGGGUGACUUUAAUGGUCAUGUUGGGGAGACGACUAGGGGUUAUGACGAGGUGUAUGACGGGUUCAAUUUCGGGGUUAGGAACGAUGGCGGUACUUCAUUGUUGGAGUUUGCUAAAGUUUUUGACUUGGUGCUAACUAACACAGGUUUUAAGAAGAGGGAGGAACACUUGGUCACUUUCCAGAGUAGGGUUGCCAAGACUCAGAUUGAUUAUCUUCUCCUCAGGAGAGGUGAUAACGGCCUUUGUACGGAUCGCAAGGUUAUCCCGAGUGAGUGUCUGUCGACGCAGCAUAGGAUCUUCGUAAUGGACUUGGAGGUCAAGGGAGCAAGGAAGAAGAGAGCGGUGUACGACCAACCUAAGAUCAGGUGGGGAGCCUUGACUAAGGGAAAGGCUCGGGAGUUGGGGGAGAAACUGUUGGCUUUGGGGGCUUGGAGGAGUAGUGGGGACGCGAGUAGUAUGUGGACCACGACAGCGAAUUGCAUUAGGGAAGAUUCUAGGGAGGUGUUAGGGGGCUCGAAGGGUUACUUGGGUGGCCGCAAAGGGGACUGGUAAUGGAAUAGGGAGGUCCAAGAAAAAGUGGAAGCUAAGAAAGCGGCGUAUUUGAAGCUAGUGGGGAGCACGGACGAAGAAGAGCGGAGGUCCUAUAGGGAGUGUUACAAGAAGGCAAGGAGAGAGGUGAAGCUCGCGGUCACGGCGGCUAAGACUGUAACUUUUGAAAGAUUGUAUGAGGAUCUUGGGGGCAAAAGAGGGGAUAGGAAGCUGUACAAGUUAGCCAAGAUUAGGAAGAUGGAGGCUUGGGACCUGGAUCGAGUGAGGUGCAUCAAAGACGAACACGGUAAGGUAUUGGUGGAAGAGGCGUGUAUCAAGCGUAGAUGGCAGGAAUACUUCCAUAGACUCUUGAACGACGAAGGGGAUAGGAACAUCAUGCUGGGUAAGUUGGAGAACUCAGAGAGUCGAAGAGAUUUUGGGUUUUGUAGGCGUAUUAAGUGUGAGGAGGUUGAGGUGGUAAUACGGAAGAUGAGCAGGGGUAAGGCGACUGAGCCUGACGAGAUCCCGAUGGAAAUUUGGAAAGAAGCGGGUAGGGUAGUCUUGGAGUGGCUUACUAGUUUAACGUCAUUUUCAAGACGAAUAAGAUGCCCGAAGAUUGGAGGUGGAGUUUAAAAAUUCCGUUGUACAAAAACUAAGGUGAUAUUCAGAACUGCAACAACUAUAGGGGUAUCAAGCUGUUGAGUCACACUAUGAAGGUUUGGGAGAGGGUGUUGGAGAAGAGAGUGAGGACAGAUGUAUCUAUCUCUGAGAACCAGUUCGGAUUUAUGCCAAGACGGUCAACUACAGAAGCCAUUCACCUUGUGAGACGAUUGGUGGAGCAGUAUAGGGAGAGGAAAAAGGACCUGUACAUGGUGUUCAUUGACCUUGAGAAGGCUUGUGACAAAGUCCCAAUGGAGGUUCUAUGGAGAUAAUUGGAGUUUAGAGGAGCUCCGAUAACGUACAUUAGGGUGAUUAAGGACAUAUAUGAAGGUGCUAGACGCGGGUGAGGACUGCAGGAAGAGACUCAGAACAUUUUGCUGUGGAGAUGGGGUUGCAUCAGGCAUCAGCCCUUAGCCCGUUUUUGUUUGCUCUAGCGUUGGAUGUGCUGACACGACACAUACAAGGGAGGGGGCCAUGGUGUAUGUUAUUUGCUGACGACAUAGUACUGAUUGACGAGACACGAGGGGGUGUUAACGCUAAGUUGGAGGUUUGGAGACAGACGCUGGAGUCCAAAGGUUUCAAGUUGAAUAGAUCAAAAAUUGAAUACUUGGAAUGCAAGUUCAGUGAUGAGAGGCAUGAAAAAAAAGUGGAAGUAAAGGUUGAUACUCAAUCCAUUCCCACAAGAGAUAGUUUUAAGUAUCUUAGGUCCACAAUCCAAGGCAAUGGAGAGAUUCACGAGGAUGUUACUUAUAGUAUUGGAGCAGGUUGGAUGAGAUGGAGGCUAGCUUUAAGGGUUUUAUGCGAUAAGAAUGUGCCACCUAGACUUAAAGGCAAGUUUUACAAGGUGGUGGUUAGACCGGCUAUAUUUUAUGGAGAUGAGUGUUGGCCCGUCAAGAAGUCCCAUGUCCAGAAGAUGAGCGUAGAUGAAAUGAGGAUGUUGAGAUAGAUGUGUGGACAUACAAGGAAAGACAAGAUCAGGAAAGACAAGAUAGGGAAUUGAGGUUGCGUUGGUUUGGGCAUGUGAGAAGGAGAGAUAUAGAUACCCCGGUUAGCAGGUGUGAGAGGUUGACCAUGGCAGGCUUGAAGAAGGGCAGGGGUAGUCCAAAUAAGUAUUGGGGAGAGUUGAUUAGGCAGGACAUGUCUGUACUUCACCUAACCGAGGACAUGACUAGCGAUAAGAAGAUGUGGAGAUCGAGGAUUAAGGUGGUGGGUUGACAGGUAGUUGUGAGUUUCUCCUAGGUUUACCAGUAGUACUAGUAUUAUUCUUGUUGUUGGUUGAAAGUUACUUCCUUCUAGUUUGUUAUUAUAUCUGGUACUUAGCAACCACAUCUAUUAUUUUUGAAAAUUGCUACUAGAAAUAGUUGCUCCCUGAUUAUUACUAUUUGAUGCUACUCUUUCUUCCUUUUAUUGGAAAUUGUUACUCCCUGAUUGUUACUAUCCGAUGCUACUUUUUCUCCUCUUUUUUCUUAUCGUCUUUUGUCUCCCUCUUUCUCCCCCCUCCCCCCCUCCCUUUUCUUCCUUGACAUCUUUUCUUGAGCCGAGGGUCUAUCGAAAAUAACCUUUCUACCUCUCCAAGUAGGGGUAAGGUCUGUGUACACACUACCCUACCUAGAUCCCCCGCCCCCACCUAUGAAAUUAUACUGUGUAUGUUGUUGUUGUUGUUGUUAUGUAAUUGUAGAUUUUGUGUUUGCAAAGGUGAAGAAGUGUUUGAUUAAAGGGUAAUGGACAUACCUUUGUAUGCCGAGACAAUCAAACAUAUUUUUUUUAAUAAAAAUUCUUUCUUUGUUAUCCUUUUUAUUAUUACUAAAAUAAUUUAAUCUUGUAGAGUUAAUUAAUUUUAAUUUCAUGACAAGAUAUAAAUCUAUAAUCUAAGUAGGAAACUAUAACUAAUUCGUUGACACACCUUUGAUUUUAUUAUUGUUAGUUAAAUAUUUUAUAGCCGAUCAUAAAUUUAAAACCAAUUACUUAAAUUAAAUUAAAUUAAAUUAUCUUAGUAAAAGUAAAAAUAAAAUAAAAUGACUUUUUUGUGAAAAAUUAUGUUUGAUUCUCUAGGUAUUCAAUAGUAUGUCCAUUACCCUUUAAUUAAAUAUAUCUUCUAUAAAUUUUAUGUACCAAAAUAAAAAAACACAUUCUAAUAAAUACUACUACUAAUUAUCAUUCACUAUUAUGAUAUUCUUUAACUCAAUAUCAAAUGUUAGAAAUACUUUCAAAAUGGUAUUUAACAAUUGCACGUUAGAUAUACACAAUUUAAUAGUGUUAUUAUAAUUUUUAAAAAUUUUAUACUUUUUGAUAUGGGAUACACGUGCAAAGCGCGUAUCCUAAAACUAGCCUCAAUUGAAUAUGCCGAUUCACAACUUUUUGACACAUUAUUUCAUAGUUCUUUUGUUUAUUAAUAGUAGGAUACCAUAUUCUUCUUGUUCACUAAAUAUACCAUACCAAUUUGAACAUGUAACUACACUCUAAAUAUAAAACACCAAACUAGGAAACCAUUCAUCAAACACCAAAAACUAUAAGAUAUAGAUCAUAUAUCAUAUUCUUGUUGUUCACUAAAUAUACUAUACCAAUUUGAACACAGAACUAAACUCUAAGUAUAAAGCACCAAAAUAGGAAACCAUUCAUCAAAAUCAGUUAUCAACCACCCAAAAACUAAGAUAUAGAGCUAGGAAUUUCAUCGAAAACUAACAACCUCCUCAUCCUUAUGGAUUUGGUUUUGCCUCAUCCUUCUUCAAGUAAGCUUCCUUUGCCUUCU